UACGUAGGGCGCAAGCGUUUGUCCGGAAUUAUUGGGCGUAAAGAGCUCGUAGGCGGCUUGUCACGUCGGAUGUGAAAGCCCGAGGCUUAACCUCGGGUCUGCAUUCGAUACGGGCUAGCUAGAGUGUGGUAGGGGAGAUCGGAAUUCCUGGUGUAGCGGUGAAAUGCGCAGAUAUCAGGAGGAACACCGGUGGCGAAGGCGGCUCACUGGCCCAUUACUGACGCUGAGGCACGAAAGCGUGGGGAGCAAACAGG
rnacentral:rRNA from 1 species